AUUGAACGCUGGCGGCAGGCUUAACACAUGCAAGUCGAGCGGGGUGAUGGUGCUUGCACUAUCACUUAGCGGCGGACGGGUGAGUAAUGCUUAGGAAUCUGCCUAUUAGUGGGGGACAACAUCUCGAAAGGGAUGCUAAUACCGCAUACGUCCUACGGGAGAAAGCAGGGGAUCACUUGUGACCUUGCCCUAAUAGAUGAGCCUAAGUCGGAUUAGGUAGUUGGUGGGGUAAAGGCCUACCAAGGCGACGAUCUGUAGCGGGUCUGAGAGGAUGAUCCGCCACACUGGGACUGAGACACGGCCCAGACUCCUACGGGAGGCAGCAGUGGGGAAUAUUGGACAAUGGGGGGAACCCUGAUCCAGCCAUGCCGCGUGUGUGAAGAAGGCCUUAUGGUUGUAAAGCACUUUAAGCGAGGAGGAGGCUCUUUUGGUUAAUACCCAAGAUGAGUGGACGUUACUCGCAGAAUAGGCACCGGCUAACUCUGUGCCAGCAGCCGCCGUAA
rnacentral:rRNA from 1 species